rnacentral:rRNA from 1 species
ACUGGAUAGUGGCGGACGGGUGAGCAACACGUGAGCAACCUACCUUGUACAGGAGGACAACAGUUGGAAACGGCUGCUAAUACUCCAUAAGACCGAGUCUGCGCAUGCAGGAGCGGUCAAAGGUGAAAGCCGGUACAAGAUGGGCUCGCGUCCCAUUAGCUAGUUGGCGGGGUGACAGCCCACCAAGGCGACGAUGGGUAGCCGGCCUGAGAGGGUGAACGGCCACACUGGGACUGAGACACGGCCCAGACUCCUACGGGAGGCAGCAGUAGGGAAUAUUGCGCAAUGGGGGAAACCCUGACGCAGCGACGCCGCGUGAGCGAUGAAGGCCUUCGGGUCGUAAAGCUCUGGCUUUGGGGACGAGAAGAAGACGGUACCCAAGGAGGAAGCCCCGGCAAACUACGUGCCAGCAGCCGCGGUAAUACGUAGGGGGCGAGCGUUGUCCGGAAUUAUUGGGCGUAAAGGGUGUGUAGGCGGCUUUGCAAGUCAGAUGUGAAAUGCCACGGCUUAACCGUGGGACUGCAUUUGAAACUGCAGGGCUUGAGUUCGGAAGAGGAAAACGGAAUUCCUGGUGUAGCGGUGAAAUGCGUAGAUAUCAGGAGGAACACCGGUGGCGAAGGCGGUUUUCUGGGCCGACACUGACGCUGAGGCACGAAAGCGUGGGGGAGCGAACAGGAUUAGAUACCCUGGUAGUCCACGCCGUAAACGAUGGAUACUAGUGUAGGGAGUAUCAACUCUCCCUGUGCCGCAGCUAACGCAAUAAGUAUCCCGCCUGGGGAGUACGGCCGCAAGGUUGAAACU